rnacentral:rRNA from 1 species
AUUGAACGCUGGCGGCAGGCUUAACUCAUGCAAGUCGAGCGGGGUGAGGUGCUUCGGUACUGAUCCUAGCGGCGGACGGGUGAGUAAUGCUUAGGAAUCUGCCAUUUAGUGGGGGACAACAUUCCGAAAGGAAUGCUAAUACCGCAUACGUCCUACGGGAGAAAGCAGGGGAUCUUCGGACCUUGCGCUAAAUGAUGAGCCUAAGUCGGAUUAGCUAGUUGGUGGGGUAAAGGCCUACCAAGGCGACGAUCUGUAGCGGGUCUGAGAGGAUGAUCCGCCCCACUGGAACGAAGACACGGCCCAGACUCCUACGGGAGGCAGCAGUGGGGAAUAUUGGACAAUGGGGGGAACCCUGAUCCAGCCAUGGCGCGUGUGUGAAGAAGGCCUUUUGGUUGUAAAGCACUUUAAGCGAGGAGGAGGCUUACCAAGCUAAUAUCUUGGAUAAGUGGACGUUACUCGCAGAAUAAGCACCGGCUAACUCUGUGCCAGCAGCCGCCGUAA